rnacentral:rRNA from 1 species
GACGAACGCUGGCGGCGUGCUUAACACAUGCAAGUCGAACGGAAAGGCCUGCUUUCCCUUGUGGAUUGCGGGUGCUCGAGUGGCGAACGGGUGAGUAACACGUGAGUGAUCUGCCCCCAACUUGGGUAUAAGCCUGGGAAACUGGGUCUAAUUCCCGAUAGGACUGCAGGGUGGUGCCUGUGGUGGAAAACGAUUUUCUAGUGGUUGGGGAUGAGCUCGCGGCCUAUCAGCUUGUUGGUGGGGUAAUGGCCUACCAAGGCGGCGACGGGUAGCCGGCCUGAGAGGGUGGACGGCCACAUUGGGACUGAGAUACGGCCCAGACUCCUACGGGAGGCAGCAGUGGGGAAUAGUGCACAAUGGGCGGAAGCCUGAUGCAGCGACGCCGCGUGGGGGAUGACGGCCUUCGGGUGGUAAACUCCUUUCGACCGCGAGGAAGCCACCUGGUUGGAAGGGUGGUGACGGUAGUGGUAGAAGAAGCACCGGCUAACUACGUG